AGUACCUCCUUGAACUACAACUCCCAGGAUGCCAUAGGUUUGGAGAAAGGCGGCCUACCCUCCCGCUCCCCUCCGAGCCUCCUUGCUCCCCUCAUACCUGCCCUGCUCGGAGCGGUGCAUGCCGGGAGGCACGGGGAGCGCGGCUUCUACUCUUUGGCCUCGAGGCGGGCAAGCCAGGGGACGGGGCUGACGUCGCGCGGAAAGGCGACUGCGCAGGCGCCCAGGUGCAGACGCGGCCAAACAGCAACCGUGUUGCCCUGGCAACGAGGUUGGCGCAGCCCCUCCUAGCGUCUGGUUCCCCCCCCCACUCUUGGGAAGCUCCGCCCACCUCGGAAGGGAGGGGGGAAGAGGGAAGGGGCGGGGCUUCUGCCUUGGCGGGAAUGGCGGCGCUCGCGCUGCGCCUUAUUCGCCUCACCUCAGGGACUCUUUGGAGACUAGUUUGUGAGGGAACCUGUCGCUUCCAACGCAUUUUCAGAACUUCUGCUUUUAGAGAGUCUGCUGACCUAUAG
rnacentral:lncRNA from 11 species